rnacentral:tRNA from 1 species
GGUUUUGUGGUUGAAAUUACAACGUCAAAUUGCAAAUUUGAAAGUGUGCAAUGAAAUGGCUCCAAAACUU